UACGAGGGAUCCUGAGCGUUGUUCGGAAUCAUUGGGCGUAAAAGCGGGUGUAGGUGGGCUUUGUAAGUCAGGUGUGAAAUCCCAGGGCUACAACCCUGGGACGUCGCAUUUGAUACUGCGAAGCUUGAGUGUAGGAGAGGAUAGUAGAAUUCCUGGUGUAGUGGUGAAAUACGUAGAUAUCAGGAGGAAUACCGGAGGCGAAGGCGGCUAUCGUGGCCUAACACUGACACUCAGACCCGAAAAGCGUGGGGGAUCAAACAGG
rnacentral:rRNA from 1 species